GAUAGUGUUGCUCAAAUCUUUUAUCUGUUGGUUAAUUUUCUGACUGUUUCACUAAGUAUGGAGAGAAGAGUGUUAACAUUUCUGAUUAUAAUUGCAUACAGUCCAUCUCCCUUUGUGGCCCUGUUCAUUUUUGCUUUAUGGCUUUUGAAGCUGUGUUAUAAAGUACAUGCAUUUUUUGGAGACAGAGCUUGCAAUGCCUUCCAGGGUUAUGAUUUAUCUUCCCGAAACAGGCAUCCCUAGUGGAUCUUCACUAGGAUCUUCACUAACUGAUCGUUUAGAAGGACGGAGGCCUGCAGACCUUUUGGUUUGUUUGUUUGCAAGCUUGUUUCUUUGUUCCAGUAACAGAUUCCUGGUGAACGUGGCCAGAGCAGAGUGAUCUUGCUGCCAUGGAUGACAAAAGCGUCCAGUAAUGCUUGAGAAGUGCUUUGUGAGUGUUCCCUGAGUAGAAGCCACUUAGCUUUUGCUUAUUAUUUAUAAAUAUAGUUUUAGUUAAAGUUUUUACGUGCUUACCACUAUGAGGUAUGUUACUUUCUCUCAUUAACUGCAUAUAAUAAACCUAAAACCUUGAGGGGAUAAGUAUUAUCAUGAACACGUACCAAUAAAGAAACUGGGUAUUAAGUAACUUUCUCAAACUCACAUAAUUCACAAAUGACAGAGGCAGAAAUUGAAGCCAGACAUAUCUGGCUCCAAAGACUAAGCUCUCAAACACUGUGCCUACCUGUGUGAAUAUCUAUUAAUACAGAGCUCUGGCACCUCCCAAGAUCCCUGUGCUAUUGUUAGCUUGCGUUUCUGUCAGAACAUUUCCCAUGUUGAAGGGAACCCUUCCUCUCUGUGACUCACAUGCCUUGUUCAGUUUCUCCUCCAAGACUUCUGCGAACUCCUCUCCUCCUCUUCCACAGUCAUCUUGCGCCUGCCGAAGAUGACUCUCCUAGGUGAUGGUGCUGCAGGGUCCAUAUGGACCCCAGUGCUGGGUGUCCUUGCAGAAGGAGCUCCAGUUCUUGGUGUCCUUGGAGAGUGGCUGGCAGGCUGAGCAGGCUGAGGUCCGGCCAGGGCAGUUUCAGGAUCAUUACUUUCUGUCUAGACACCAUACUGUUAUUAAUGCCAUUUUGCCCCACAUUGGCCUUGUUUUUUGGCAAAAGAAAUUCUCUUGCCAUUCAGACCUGCUGGGCUCAGUCAUGGUGGAACUUAGCUCAGAGCAAGAAGUGGCAUGAGAAGGGAAGGCAGUGAGCUCCCCAGGUCUGGCGUGGGGCAGGUCCAAUUCUGGUUCCUGAGUCCAAGUCCCAGGCAGGAAGGAGAAGGGGGAGGUUGUGCAGGUUGGAGGGGCCUGUGGUUUGCAGGGUGGAUGCUGGACCACCAUCUUUUCUGGGGUGGAGCCUGUGUACAUGUGUGUGCACGUGUGUGUAAGCACGAUGGGGCAGGGUCAGCUAGAGCAGCUGGGAGCCCCAUCUCUCUGGGUCUUUCUGGUCUCACUUCAGGACAAACAGAAUUUCACUUCACUGCAAAAACAUCUUUCAGGCAGGGAGGAGCUCUGCACAUGAGCUGGUCCCUGGCCUCCUCCGCUGCCCUCCAAUCUCAGGGCAGAGGGAUGAGGAAGGAGCCAGGGGGACCGCAGGGCAGGCUGAGGGGCGUCACAGAGCUCCAGGCCUGGGUGUCACUGGGGCAGGCCCUGUUGCCCUCUGCCUGAGUGCUGGUGGCUGCUGUUCCCAAUAAUCGCUCUUGCAGAGCCCCCACUAAUUGCUCAGAUUUACUCCUAAUUAGGACUUAACGGGGCUCCUGAUGGGCAGCAGAGAAAUGAGGACAGAGAAAGUCCUAGAGAACCUCUUUGACCUUCCCACGUCUCCAGAUGGGACAAGGAGGGGGAGCCCAAAAGUAGGGGGUGCAAGAGGCUCCUCCCUCUGCCCUACGUGCUGUUCAGCCCCCACGGUGGCCUUUGAGGGAGGCAACCAGACGGCGGUGAUCCUCAGAGAGCUCUUUGCAUGUCCUUGGCCCCUGCCAGGUCACUCUUCCCGGGGGGAGGUGGCAGGAAGACUUGCUCUCUCUCAUCACAUGCGUUAUUGCCAGGCAUCACACUCAGCAGCCUUGUGUCUUGCUUGUCACUGGAAAAACCUUCCCUGCUUUCUUGACAGCAAAGCCACACUACAUGUGGCAGAAGGAAGAGGGCUACAUUAGUGCCUCUGCUGUGUGACCAUGGGUGAAUCAUCUAACUUCUCUGGGCUCUGUGUUUCCCAUCUGCCAGCUGGGGAGACGAAUGUGGAACAUGGGCUGGUCGCUUAAACUCUUGCUCGCUGGCUGCCAUUUCUGAGUUGUCAGUCAUGACUGUGGUGGGAGGCAAGGUCCCUGGAGAAGGUACGAGAGCCUGGUGCCAGGGCAAAGGGACUGAGAGCCUACAUUUGUGGCCCUUGGGUUCCUCUAAGGGAUGUAAGUGGGGCGCCUGGAUGCUGGGUGCCCUAAAUCUAACCUUUGGUGGCACUGGGCUGGAACUGGAACCCAUCCAGCCGGGACAGGCUGUGCAGGCAGAGGACUGGGUGUCCCAGUGCUUUAGGCUGGGUCCGCUGGCUUCCGAGAACACAGAAACACUAAUUACUCUGAACUCCUGCCUACUCCUCCCACCGUCUCUCCAUGGAACAGAGAAGACCUGCUGGGUUCCAAGCCUGGCCCUGUCCCAGGGACACUGGACGGCAAGGUCUCACCUCUACACUGAAGGACAGCUCUGCAUUCCGGAAUCUCUGCUUCACUACCCCAGGCUGGGUCUCUGCCCUGGCCAUGGCUGGUGCUGGGGUCACCGCCUGGACCAGGGAGCCACUCAUAGCAUCUGGCCCCGGGCGGGCAUCCGAGGCUCCCAUCCUGCAUUGCCCUUGGUUGACUGCACGGAGAAGGCCAGAUUUUGUGUCAGAGGAAGAAAGGGCACGGCUAGGAACCUCCUGGACCUGGUACUGGAGUGGAACAUUAUUCGGCUUUGAAAAGGGACUUCUGAGAUGUGUGACCACAUGGAUAACCUGAGGACAUGGUGCUAUGCAAGAUGAGCCAGUCACAAAAGGACAAGCGCUAUAGGACAUCAUGCACAUGACAUGCACGAGCAGUCGAAUUUAAAGAAGAAGCAAGAAAGGGUCAGCUGGACGAAGACUCCCCACACCUGAGCCACCUCUGGGAGGGGCCCGGCUCCCCCCCCCCCCGGCCUUGUCAGGGGACUGGUGGGGACACAGAGGUAAAUGGACAUUUACCUGACACCCACGUGGGAAGGGGUCGGCUCACCACUGCGGUGUUCCCUGACGGCACUUCUCCAUACUCAGGCCGCCCUUCCUCUGCACGAAUUUAUAAUAUCUUCCUUCCCUCUUGCUAUUAAUCGUGAUUUAUGUGUCCUCCAUGAAACUAGCGGGGAGGCCAAGAGGCGGAGACGCAAUGCUGCCACGAAUGCCACACCGUCUGGGGCGUCUCUGCCUCCUUCCUCCGCCUCUGCCUGGGGCUUGGGUGGGGUAUGGGGGCAAAGCUUCAACCCCUGCCAGGGGGGCAUCGCGUGGAGAAGAGAGUCUGCUCAGGCCGCCGGUCCCUGUGGCCCCUGUGUGACUUUGUCCCCGGCCACCCCCCUGGUGGAAACGGACCCCUAGGGCGCGCUAGGCACGUGCCUGUCGGAGCGGGUCCCCACGGCCUGGAGGGGGCGCCGCGGGCUGAGCGCUUUCUCAGUGGCGCCCUCGUCCGUCCCUCGCUUCAGGGGCACCAGCGGUGUCCUCUCAGCCUUCCUCUGCCACCUGUGCUCCCGAGGUCUUGACAAGAGCCCUAUGACUGAACUCCUCAGUGCGCUUGGUGUGUUCCAUGUCCUGGGGUGUCCUGCUUUUUUGGGAAUCCCUUGUGGGUAUCCACAGAGGAGACGGAAAGGACGGCAGGCAGUGGAGGGCUGCCAAGCUUCCUUGGAAACAGGCUCGGGCCAUUCUCCUGGGCAAAGCCUCCGCCAGCCACGCUGGUCUUCACUGGGUCCCUCCUGGGCUCUCAGCCUGCUUUCUGCUUACUUUUGAUCAUUGCUGGUUUACAUCAUUGACACGAUAUGGAAAUUAUUUUAUUGUGCAAGGCUAGCCAGACGAUAAACUUUUUGUGGUGAAACACCAUUUCUUUGUCUUUUUUCUUUUGGCUGAGUCAGAGUCUCACUAUGUAGUUCAGGCUGGACUUGAAUUCACUGUGCAGGCUGGCCUCAAAUUUGUCAAAAUCCUCCUGCCUCAGCCUCCCAAGCACUGAAAUUAUAGGUCUGUACCACCAUGCCUGGUGGAACACUAUUUCCUAUUCGACUUUUACAGCAAGAUCUGAAAGAGAGUCUUUAUUUUUACAAAAAUUCUGUAGCUGGCCAGGUGGGAAGGGUGGCCCACACCUGUAAUCCCAGCUUCUCAGGAGGCUGAGGCAGAAGGAUUGCACGUUUGAGGCCAGCCUGAGUAACUUAGUAAGACCCUGUAUCAAAACAAACAACAACAAAAAAAUAAAGGUGUGAAGGUGUUGCUCAGUGGUAGAGUGCACUAGGGUUAAUUUCAAGUACUACAAAACAAAAUUGUGGUGCUUCAUCGAUUUCCAAUAGAUAUCUCUUGAUUUUUCAUGCCCAGAUCAUUUACUCUGCAGGUACAUAUUAUGCCAUGAUGCUGUUGAUUUUCUCUUCUUCAUUGUAAUUCAUCUUCCCCAGAUUCUUAUGUUUUCAGUGGCUUUGGGGUGACUUAAACACUUGUGUAACAUUGAUUUUAUCAACCUCAUUAAAAUCUGCAUUUCUUGGGGCCAGUUA